rnacentral:lncRNA from 1 species
UUCAUGGAUGGAUGGGUGGAUGGAUGGAUGGAUGGAUGGAUGGCCCUCCUGUCUCACCUUCAAAGAGUUUCCAAGCAAAACUCAGCACAUCACUUCCUCUGCCUUCAAUGUUCCCUUUGAGGUAGCACCUGGAAAGAUUACAGGUGGAGGGUGGUCAAGCAGUGAUAUCCUCCGAGGCUGCAGCUCUGCUCUAGUGCUGGUCCAGGAAGCCUCCCCACAUGUGCUCCUGGCCACCACUCACCGAGAUACAGGAGCUCGGGAACUGGGGAUGCUCAGUCUCAAGUCAGGCUUCUUUGUUUUGUUUUAAAGAUUUAUUUAUUUAUAUAAGUACACUGUAGCUGUCUUCUAGACACACCAGAAGAGGGCGUCAGAUCCCAUUACAGAUGGUUGUAAUUGCUGGGAAUUGAACUCAGGACCUCUGGAAGAGCAGUCAGUGCUCUUAACCGCUGAGCCAUCUCUCCAGCCCUGAAAUCAUACUUCUUGGAAGGGCUCCUUUGCCAAAGAGCAGAGAGUGGUCAGAGGACAAAGCACAUCCCUAGUUCUGGACCACUGUGAGCCUGGCUGAGGGUGUGACCAGCUGACAAGACACCCAUUGAUUUGGGCUUAAUAUGCGUAAGAGGCUGUAUCUUUCUCUAUCUUAAGACUACCCGUGGGGAGAGAAGAGCUCUGCUUAUUAGCAGAGCAGAGUUGGGCUCAGGAAAGCAAAGACAUGCUUGCCCAAGAUACAGAGCCAGGAUUCACACCCAGGGCCUCUAGUGCUGUUGGCUCUGUCCUCUCCAGUAAGCCUUGCCUCAAGUCACGGAAGGCUGUGCUGGGGGGAGGGGGAUUAAGGCACCUCCCCUAGGAUUCUUGACAACAUGCUGAGGUCUGUCGGACAAAGCCUGUCCUCACAUAGCCCAGGUGGGAUUAAGGCACCUCCCCUAGGAUUCUUGACAACAUGCUGAGGUCUGUCGGACAAAGCCUGUCCUCACAUAGCCCAGGCGGGAUCCAGGCUGCGUUUACCCUGACUGCUGCAUCCUUUCCCUUAUGGAAUGUGUACUUCCUAAGCUCUAUAACCAAGCAAUACAGCUCAUGGUGGCCCUGGCCCUCUAGGCCAUCAUCCACCCCAGGGUGAAAGAGCUUGUCCUGGGCAGGUGUGGCUCUCCCAAUGCAGUCAGAGGUAAUGAUGUUUGCAGCUCUGUGUUUAAAAAGCAGACCAUAGCCGGGCAUGGUGGCGCACGCCUUUAAUCCCAGCACUUGGGAGGCAGAGGCAGGCAGAUUUCUGAGUUCAAGGACAGCCAGGGCUACAAAGUGAGUUCCAGGACAGCCAGGGAGACCUGUCUUGAAAAACC